rnacentral:rRNA from 1 species
GACGAACGCUGGCGGCGUGCUUAACACAUGCAAGUCGAACGGAAAGGCCCUGCUUUUGUGGGGUGCUCGAGUGGCGAACGGGUGAGUAACACGUGAGUAACCUGCCCUUGACUUUGGGAUAACUUCAGGAAACUGGGGCUAAUACCGGAUAGGAGCUCCUGCUGCAUGUUGGGGGUUGGAAAGUUUCGGCGGUUGGGGAUGGACUCGCGGCUUAUCAGCUUGUUGGUGGGGUAGUGGCUUACCAAGGCUUUGACGGGUAGCCGGCCUGAGAGGGUGACCGGCCACAUUGGGACUGAGAUACGGCAGAGACUCCUACGGGAGGCAGCAGUGGGGAAUAUUGCACAAUGGGCGGAAGCCUGAUGCAGCAACGCCGCGUGCGGGAUGACGGCCUUAGGGUUGUAAACCGAUUUCGCCUGUGACGAAGCGUGAGUGACGGUAAUGGGUACAGAAGCACCGGCUAACUACGUG